rnacentral:rRNA from 1 species
UACGGAGGGGGCUAGCGUUGUUCGGAAUUACUGGGCGUAAAGCGCACGUAGGCGGAUCAGCAAGUUAGGGGUGAAAUCCCGGGGCUCAACCCCGGAACUGCCUUUAAAACUGUUGGUCUGGAGUCCGAGAGAGGUGAGUGGAAUUCCGAGUGUAGAGGUGAAAUUCGUAGAUAUUCGGAGGAACACCAGUGGCGAAGGCGGCUCACUGGCUCGGUACUGACGCUGAGGUGCGAAAGCGUGGGGAGCAAAC